rnacentral:rRNA from 1 species
CGCGUAGGUGGCCUGAUAAGGGUGUGGUGAAAGUCCGGGGCUCAACCCCGGAUCGGCCGUGCCGACUGUUAGGCUAGAGUACUGUAGGGGCAGGCGGAAUUCCGGGUGUAGCGGUGGAAUGCGUAGAGAUCCGGAGGAAGACCGGUGGCGAAGGCGGCCUGCUGGGCAGUUACUGACACUGAGGCGCGACAGCGUGGGGAGCAAACAG